rnacentral:lncRNA from 1 species
AGAACACGCCAGGGUGGAGACAGGAGAUCUGUGUGCUUCCCGAGUACAGAUCACGGCUCAGCAUCUCAUGGGAAAGGGACAGGGCUCUCUUCAGGACACGCAGUAAGAUUUCAAGUGCGGGCACUUUUAAUACUCCGCGAUCCAAAGGCAGCUCCAGGGCCAGCCGCGGUUUCCGGCCUCAAGGGCAGGCUCGGUUCUGGAGCUCCCUCCAGUGGCCGUCGGGGUGCCGUCACUUUCAGGGCCCCACCAGGAGAGCAGGGGCCCCGCCGAGGACCAGAGCGCCUGGACCAGAGGGAGCCCUGCGCGGCCGGCACGGAUGCCUCUCAAUAGGCGGCAUGGGGCCGACACGACUCGCCCAUAUUUGGUUCUCAUGAAAACAGAAGCUCCGUGGAGAAAGCGAAGAAAGUCCUUGAAAGUCGCCUGUUCAAAGCCGCCACUGCCGUGAUGCCCCCUGACUCCGCACCCCGCCGCCGUGACGCCCCCCACGACCCCGCACCCUGCUGCAGUGACGCCCCCGACCCCUCACCCCGCUGCCGUCACACACCCCGACCCCGCUGCCGUCACUCCCCACGACCCCCCACCCCGCUGCCGUCACGCUCCGUGACCCCCGACCCCGACACCCUGCUGCCGUGAUGUUCCCCCAACCCUGCACCCCGCUGCCGUGACGCCCGCCCCGACCCCGCACCCCGCUGCUGUCACGCCCCCGACCCCGCACCCCGCCGCCGUCACGCCCGACCCCUCACCCCGCUACUGUGACGCCCCCCGACCCCUCACCCCGCUGCCGUCACACACCCCGACCCCGCUGCCGUCACUCCCAACCCCCCACCCCGCUGCCGUCACGCUCCGUGACCCCCGACCCCGACACCCUGCUGCCGUGAUGUUCCCCCAACCCUGCACCCCGCUGCCGUGACGCCCGCCCCGACCCCGCACCCCGCUGCCGUCACGCCCCCGACCCCGCACCCCGCCGCCGUCACGCCCGACCUCUCACCCCGCUACUGUGACGCCCCCCGACCCCGCACCCCGCCGCCGUCACUCCCCCGACCCCGCACCCCGCUGCCGUGACACCCCCCGGCCCCCAUCCCGCUGCCAUCACGCCUCCCGGCCCCCGCACCCUUGUCUGUGUCCCACAGCACAGGACCUGUCAGCGAGCGUCUGGCGCCUUCCUCCCUCCCCUGCAGAGACCCGCCAGGCCCCUCCAACAGGUGCUUUCUAAACUGCAAUUUCCUCAUCUACAAAAGGACAAUCACAACAACGGAACCCAGGGGACAGGACUGCAUCAACUACAACCAGACGGCGUAGACGGCAGCACACGGCCCUCGGCAAAUCAGAGGUGCUCAGUGACCACAGCCACCAUGACAGCAGGGCGGGGCGGGGGGCAAGGAAGCAGCGCUGGGAGACUUGGAGACACCCCAAAAAACGCCUUCCUCAGAAACACUGCUGUGCAAGAACCUGCAAAUCCCUAAGGCGUCUGUGUCCGAUGGCCCCGGCCCCAUGCUCUGAGGUCGCGCAGGUGUCCAAGGCCAGGAGGGGCACCGAGGAGACGAAGAAGAAACAGCACAGCAGCUGGGGAGGUUUUCUGUGCCUGUUUUCGGUGAGCACAGAACAACUGAAGGAAGCGCGGGACAGACACAAGGGCGGGCCUCGGUGCCACGGCUGGCCUUGGGCAGAGGGAAAUGCUUUGUGUACUUUCUCUGGGAAGCAGCAGCCCCAGCGCGGCCUCGGCGUCCUCUGCCGCCAACUGCUCCGUGACCGCUGGGCGUGUGUGCGGGGACAUGGGAGCAACUUCACAGUGGUGGGAAGUUUCUCUCCUAAAACGAAAGCUUCUCUAUACUACAGAUUGGCCCCAUUAAAUAAAAGAAAAUACGGUGUA